UAUUAUAUUUUAUUAUACAUUUUGGUGUAAGAAGCACAAAAUUUUUUGAUAAUUUAAGGAAUAGUUUAAUUCUAUUAAAUGUAAA
rnacentral:tRNA from 1 species